rnacentral:rRNA from 2 species
UUAAGCGACUAAGCGUACACGGUGGAUGCCCUGGCAGUCAGAGGCGAUGAAGGACGUGCUAAUCUGCGAUAAGCGCCGGUAAGGUGAUAUGAACCGUUAUAACCGGCGAUUUCCGAAUGGGGAAACCCAGUGUGACUCGUCACACUAUCAUUAACUGAAUCCAUAGGUUAAUGAGGCGAACCGGGGGAACUGAAACAUCUAAGUACCCCGAGGAAAAGAAAUCAACCGAGAUUCCCCCAGUAGCGGCGAGCGAACGGGGAGGAGCCCAGAGCCUGAAUCAGCAUGUGUGUUAGUGGAAGCGUCUGGAAAGGCGCGCGAUACAGGGUGACAGCCCCGUACACAAAAGCGCAUAUGCUGUGAGCUCGAUGAGUAGGGCGGGACACGUGGUAUCCUGUCUGAAUAUGGGGGGACCAUCCUCCAAGGCUAAAUACUCCUGACUGACCGAUAGUGAACCAGUACCGUGAGGGAAAGGCGAAAAGAACCCCGGCGAGGGGAGUGAAAAAGAACCUGAAACCGUGUACGUACAAGCAGUGGGAGCCCCACCACUAAGCCAGUGGUGAACUCCACAUACGCAUCCUUUGCUGAGGAUACGGUUAACGGAGCGAAAGCGACGUUCAACCGCAAAAGAAGCAGAGGGGGCUUAGUGGUGGGGUGACUGCGUACCUUUUGUAUAAUGGGUCAGCGACUUAUAUUCUGUAGCAAGGUUAACCGAAUAGGGGAGCCGGAGGGAAACCGAGUCUUAAUUGGGCGUUAAGUUGCAGGGUAUAGACCCGAAACCCGGUGAUCUAGCCAUGGGCAGGUUGAAGGUUGGGUAACACUAACUGGAGGACCGAACCGACUAAUGUUGAAAAAUUAGCGGAUGACCUGUGGCUGGGGGUGAAAGGCCAAUCAAACCGGGAGAUAGCUGGUUCUCCCCGAAAGCUAUUUAGGUAGCGCCUCGUGAAUUCAUCUCCGGGGGUAGAGCACUGUUUCGGCUAGGGGGCCAUCCCGGCUUACCAACCCGAUGCAAACUGCGAAUACCGGAGAAUGUUAUCACGGGAGACACACGGCGGGUGCUAACGUCCGUCGUGAAGAGGGAAACAACCCAGACCGCCAGCUAAGGUCCCAAAGUCAUGGUUAAGUGGGAAACGAUGUGGGAAGGCCCAGACAGCCAGGAUGUUGGCUUAGAAGCAGCCAUCAUUUAAAGAAAGCGUAAUAGCUCACUGGUCGAGUCGGCCUGCGCGGAAGAUGUAACGGGGCUAAACCAUGCACCGAAGCUGCGGCAGCGACGCUUAUGCGUUGUUGGGUAGGGGAGCGUUCUGUAAGCCUGUGAAGGUGUGUCGUGAGGCAUGCUGGAGGUAUCAGAAGUGCGAAUGCUGACAUAAGUAACGAUAAAGCGGGUGAAAAGCCCGCUCGCCGGAAGACCAAGGGUUCCUGUCCAACGUUAAUCGGGGCAGGGUGAGUCGACCCCUAAGGCGAGGCCGAAAGGCGUAGUCGAUGGGAAACGGGUUAAUAUUCCCGUACUUGGUGUUACUGCGAAGGGGGGACGGAGAAGGCUAUGUUGGCCGGGCGACGGUUGUCCCGGUUUAAGCGUGUAGGUGUGUGUUCCAGGUAAAUCCGGUUCACUUUAACACUGAGGCGUGAUGACGAGGCACUACGGUGCUGAAGCAACAAAUGCCCUGCUUCCAGGAAAAGCCUCUAAGCAUCAGGUAACAUCAAAUCGUACCCCAAACCGACACAGGUGGUCAGGUAGAGAAUACCAAGGCGCUUGAGAGAACUCGGGUGAAGGAACUAGGCAAAAUGGUGCCGUAACUUCGGGAGAAGGCACGCUGACACGUAGGUGAAGUGAUUUACUCAUGGAGCUGAAGUCAGUCGAAGAUACCAGCUGGCUGCAACUGUUUAUUAAAAACACAGCACUGUGCAAACACGAAAGUGGACGUAUACGGUGUGACGCCUGCCCGGUGCCGGAAGGUUAAUUGAUGGGGUCAGCGCAAGCGAAGCUCCUGAUCGAAGCCCCGGUAAACGGCGGCCGUAACUAUAACGGUCCUAAGGUAGCGAAAUUCCUUGUCGGGUAAGUUCCGACCUGCACGAAUGGCGUAAUGAUGGCCAGGCUGUCUCCACCCGAGACUCAGUGAAAUUGAACUCGCUGUGAAGAUGCAGUGUACCCGCGGCAAGACGGAAAGACCCCGUGAACCUUUACUAUAGCUUGACACUGAACAUUGAGCCUUGAUGUGUAGGAUAGGUGGGAGGCUUUGAAGUGUGGACGCCAGUCUGCAUGGAGCCGACCUUGAAAUACCACCCUUUAAUGUUUGAUGUUCUAACGUGGACCCGUGAUCCGGGUUGCGGACAGUGUCUGGUGGGUAGUUUGACUGGGGCGGUCUCCUCCUAAAGAGUAACGGAGGAGCACGAAGGUUGGCUAAUCCUGGUCGGACAUCAGGAGGUUAGUGCAAUGGCAUAAGCCAGCUUGACUGCGAGCGUGACGGCGCGAGCAGGUGCGAAAGCAGGUCAUAGUGAUCCGGUGGUUCUGAAUGGAAGGGCCAUCGCUCAACGGAUAAAAGGUACUCCGGGGAUAACAGGCUGAUACCGCCCAAGAGUUCAUAUCGACGGCGGUGUUUGGCACCUCGAUGUCGGCUCAUCACAUCCUGGGGCUGAAGUAGGUCCCAAGGGUAUGGCUGUUCGCCAUUUAAAGUGGUACGCGAGCUGGGUUUAGAACGUCGUGAGACAGUUCGGUCCCUAUCUGCCGUGGGCGCUGGAGAACUGAGGGGGGCUGCUCCUAGUACGAGAGGACCGGAGUGGACGCAUCACUGGUGUUCGGGUUGUCAUGCCAAUGGCACUGCCCGGUAGCUAAAUGCGGAAGAGAUAAGUGCUGAAAGCAUCUAAGCACGAAACUUGCCCCGAGAUGAGUUCUCCCUGAGACUUUAGGUCUCCUGAAGGAACGUUGAAGACGACGACGUUGAUAGGCCGGGUGUGUAAGCGCAGCGAUGCGUUGAGCUAACCGGUACUAAUGAACCGUGAGGCUUAACCUU